GGUCAAAAGCAAGAAAUAUCAAGAAACACAAGCAUACCGUAAAACCGUCAUGUUUUUGAAGGAAAAUUCGAGGAGGAACAACACAUUUGUGUCCUUUCCUUCCUUUCUCCCCGUCUUACCCAAAUAGUUCCUUCCUCCUCCUGCUUUCUCUUCCUCACAUGUUAACAUCUACAAACAUAAGAUGGUGUGUUAAAAGAUUGGAUAUGCUUCUAUGGAGAUGACUUCCAGAGGGUAUAAGUCUGAUUUGAGAGUUUUAUUACCUUGAGUAUUUUACUGGAAGAGAUAGAACAACAUUCAUAAUUAAUGUGUGGGUUAGGAGAAAAUACACUGAUAACUAUUAUUUCAGUAUUUCAUACUGAGCACUGUUUGUUUAGGAUGAAUUCACUUUAAGCCAUGUUGAAGAACAAGCCUUUAAUUGUCCCAUUAUUAGUGCCAAAUCUAUUAUAAAUUUGUUAAAAUUUGUUUAAUACCUCCCUUAGAGGGUAUUUUAGGUAUUUAAUGAGCUAGCAUUUGUUAAAGGCUUAUAUUUAUGACUUUCUAGUAAGAACUCAAUAAAUGGUAUAUUUGUUAAA